AGAGUUUGAUCCUGGCUCAGGACGAACGCUGGCGGCGUGCUUAACACAUGCAAGUCGAACGGAAAGGCCCUUCGGGGUACUCGAGUGGCGAACGGGUGAGUAACACGUGGGUGAUCUGCCCUGCACUUUGGGAUAAGCCUGGGAAACUGGGUCUAAUACCGAAUAGGACCGCGCGCUUCAUGGUGUGUGGUGGAAAGCUUUUGCGGUGUGGGAUGGGCCCGCGGCCUAUCAGCUUGUUGGUGGGGUAAUGGCCUACCAAGGCGACGACGGGUAGCCGGCCUGAGAGGGUGACCGGCCACACUGGGACUGAGAUACGGCCCAGACUCCUACGGGAGGCAGCAGUGGGGAAUAUUGCACAAUGGGCGCAAGCCUGAUGCAGCGACGCCGCGUGAGGGAUGACGGCCUUCGGGUUGUAAACCUCUUUCACCAGGGACGAAGCGCAAGUGACGGUACCUGGAGAAGAAGCACCGGCCAACUACGUGCCAGCAGCCGCGGUAAUACGUAGGGUGCGAGCGUUGCCCGGAAUUACUGGGCGUAAAGAGCUCGUAGGUGGUUUGUCGCGUUGUUCGUGAAAACUCACAGCUUAACUGUGGGCGUGCGGGCGAUACGGGCAGACUAGAGUACUGCAGGGGAGACUGGAAUUCCUGGUGUAGCGGUGGAAUGCGCAGAUAUCAGGAGGAACACCGGUGGCGAAGGCGGGUCUCUGGGCAGUAACUGACGCUGAGGAGCGAAAGCGUGGGGAGCGAACAGGAUUAGAUACCCUGGUAGUC
rnacentral:rRNA from 1 species